rnacentral:rRNA from 1 species
CCUACGGGUGGCAGCAGUGAGGAAUAUUGGUCAAUGGACGAGAGUCUGAACCAGCCAAGUAGCGUGAAGGAUGACUGCCCUAUGGGUUGUAAACUUCUUUUAUAUGGGAAUAAAACGUUCCACGUGUGGGAUUUUGUAUGUACCAUAUGAAUAAGGAUCGGCUAACUCCGUGCCAGCAGCCGCGGUAAUACGGAGGAUCCGAGCGUUAUCCGGAUUUAUUGGGUUUAAAGGGAGCGUAGGUGGAUUGUUAAGUCAGUUGUGAAAGUUUGCGGCUCAACCGUAAAAUUGCAGUUGAAACUGGCAGUCUUGAGUACAGUAGAGGUAGGCGGAAUGCGUGGUGUAGCGGUGAAAUGCUUAGAUAUCACGAAGAACUCCGAUUGCGAAGGCAGUUCACUGGACUGCAACUGACACUGAGGCUCGAAAGUGUGGGUAUCAAACAGGAUUAGAUACCCUUGUAGUC